UACGCGUGGGAAUCUGCCCUUGGGUACGGAAUAACUCAGAGAAAUUUGUGCUAAUACCGUAUAAUGUCUUCGGACCAAAGAUUUAUCGCCCAAGGAUGAGCCCGCGUAAGAUUAGCUAGUUGGUGAGGUAAAGGCUCACCAAGGCGACGAUCUUUAGCUGGUCUGAGAGGAUGAUCAGCCACACUGGGACUGAGACACGGCCCAGACUCCUACGGGAGGCAGCAGUGGGGAAUAUUGGACAAUGGGCGAAAGCCUGAUCCAGCAAUGCCGCGUGAGUGAUGAAGGCCUUAGGGUUGUAAAGCUCUUUUACCCGGGAUGAUAAUGACAGUACCGGGAGAAUAAGCUCCGGCUAACUCCGUGCCAGCAGCCGCGGUAAUACGGAGGGAGCUAGCGUUGUUCGGAAUUACUGGGCGUAAAGCGCGCGUAGGCGGUUUUUUAAGUCAGAGGUGAAAGCCCAGUGCUCAACACUGGAACUGCCUUUGAAACUGGAAAACUUGAAUCUUGGAGAGGUCAGUGGAAUUCCGAGUGUA
rnacentral:rRNA from 1 species